rnacentral:lncRNA from 1 species
AUUCUGCACAUUUCCAGGAGAGAAACUCAGAGAAAAGAUGUGUACUGACAAUUUAAAAAACUAUGCCACAUGUGAGUCAUUAUUCCUUCUUUCCUUCUUGAAGGACAAUCAUUUCAUUGUGUGAUGUGAAUAUUGGACUUUUGUAUCCCAAAAUUUUCUGCCUUUUUUGGUUCCCUAAGAGAACUGGUCCCAAACAUUUCCUAUUCCAAUAAGUGAUACUAGGAAAAAACCACUGACUUCUCUAAACAUUUUCCCUCUGUCCAUUGUUUAGAUGUUCAUUCAUCGGAUCGUUUUACAUUUUCACAUGCAUAGUCUCUUACUAGGAGCCCUGAGGGAGCAGAAAUAAGUC